AGAGCGAACGCUGGCGGCAGGCUUAACACAUGCAAGUCGAGCGGGCGUAGCAAUACGUCAGCGGCAGACGGGUGAGUAACGCGUGGGAACGUACCUUUUGGUUCGGAACAACACAGGGAAACUUGUGCUAAUACCGGAUAAGCCCUUACGGGGAAAGAUUUAUCGCCGAAAGAUCGGCCCGCGUCUGAUUAGCUAGUUGGUGAGGUAACGGCUCACCAAGGCGACGAUCAGUAGCUGGUCUGAGAGGAUGAUCAGCCACAUUGGGACUGAGACACGGCCCAAACUCCUACGGGAGGCAGCAGUGGGGAAUAUUGGACAAUGGGCGCAAGGCCUGAUCCAGCCAUGCCGCGUGAGUGAUGAAGGCCCUAGGGUUGUAAAGCUCUUUUGUGCGGGAAGAUAAUGACGGUACCGCAAGAAUAACGCCCGGCUAACUUCGCGUCAGCAGCCGC
rnacentral:rRNA from 1 species